AUUGAACGCUGGCGGCAUGCCUUACACAUGCAAGUCGAACGGUAACAGGUUAAGCGGACGAGUGGCGAACGGGUGAGUAAUAUAUCGGAACGUGCCCAGUCGUGGGGGAUAACGUAGCGAAAGCUACGCUAAUACCGCAUACGAUCUACGGAUGAAAGCGGGGGAUCGCAAGACCUCGCGCGAUUGGAGCGGCCGAUAUCAGAUUAGGUAGUUGGUGGGGUAAAGGCCCACCAAGCCUGCGAUCUGUAGCUGGUCUGAGAGGACGACCAGCCACACUGGAACUGAGACACGGUCCAGGCUCCUACGGGAGGCAGCAGUGGGGAAUUUUGGACAAUGGGCGCAAGCCUGAUCCAGCAAUGCCGCGUGCAGGAUGAAGGCCUUCGGGUUGUAAACUGCUUUUGUACGGAACGAAACGGCUUUUUCUAAUACAGAGAGCUAAUGACGGUACCGUAAGAAUAAGCACCGGCUAACUACGUGCCAGCCGCCGCUGUAA
rnacentral:rRNA from 1 species